AGUGAACGCUGGCGGCGUGCUCAACACAUGCAAGUCGAACGAGAACGGAUUAUAGCUUGCUAUAAUUGUCAGCUAAGUGGCGCACGGGUGAGUAAUGUAUAGGUAAUAUGCCUCUUACUAAGGGAUAACAAAUGGAAACGUUUGCUAAUACCUUAUACUCCUUAUUAACAGAAGUUAAUAAGGGAAAGAUUUAUUGGUAAGAGAUUAGCCUGUAUUGUAUCAGUUAGUUGGUGGGGUAAUGGCUUACCAAGACUAUGACACAUAACUGGUUUGAGAGGAUGAUCAGUGACACUGGAACUAAGACACGGUCCAGACUCCUACGGGAGGCAGCAGUGGGGAAUAUUGCACAAUGGACGAAAGUCUGAUGCAGCAACGCCGCGUGGAGGAUGACACAUUUCGGUGCGUAAACUCCUUUUAUAUGAGAAGAUAAUGACGGUAUUAUAUGAAUAAGCACCGGCUAACUCCGUGCCAGCCGCCGCCGUAA
rnacentral:rRNA from 1 species